GAACUUAGAGCUUGCUCUAAGGGACAGUGGCAGACGGGUGAGUAACGCGUGGCAACCUACCCUUCGGUGGGGGACAACAGUUGGAAACGACUGCUAAUACCCCAUACGUCCUCCGGGAGAAAGAUUCAUCGCCGAUGGAUGGGGCCGCGUUAGAUUAGCUUGUUGGUGGGGUAAUGGCCUACCAAGGCGACGAUCUAUAGCGGGUCUGAGAGGAUGAUCCGCCACACUGGGACUGAGACACGGCCCAGACUCCUACGGGAGGCAGCAGUAGGGAAUAUUGGACAAUGGGCGCAAGCCUGAUCCAGCAACGCCGCGUGAAUGAUGAAGGCCUUAGGGUUGUAAAAUUCUUUCGCUAGGGAAGAUAAUGACUGUACCUAGUAAAGAAGCCCCGGCUAACUCCGUGCCAGCAGCCGCGGUAAUACGGAGGGGGCUAGCGUUGUUCGGAAUUACUGGGCGUAAAGCGUGCGUAGGCGGACUGGAAAGUCAGAUGUGAAAUCCCGGGGCUCAACCCCGGAACUGCAUUUGAAACUAUCAGUCUAGAGUUCUGGAGAGGUAAGUGGAAUUCCUAGUGUGGAGGUGAAAUUCGUAGAUAUUAGGAGGAACACCAGAGGCGAAGGCGGCUUACUGGACAGAUACUGACGCUGAGGCACGAAAGUGUGGGGAGCAAACAGGAUUAGAUACCCUGGUAGUCCACACCGUAAACGAUGAGAGCUAGUUGUCUGCAAGCAUGCUUGUAGGUGACGCAGCUAACGCAUUAAGCUCUCCGCCUGGGGAGUACGGUCGCAAGAUUAAAACUCAAAGAAAUUGACAGGGGCCCGCACAAGC
rnacentral:rRNA from 1 species